CCAAUAGCGUAUAUUAAAGUUGUUGCAGUUAAAAAGCUCGUAGUUGAAUUUCGGGACCAAUCUGCCGGUCGUGCCUCUGGUACGCACUGGUUUUAUUGGUUUCUCCCUUCUGACGAACCAUAAUGUCAUUAAUUUGGUGUCAUGGGGAAUCAGGACUGUUACUUUGAAAAAAUUAGAGUGUUUAAAGCAGGCUCACGCUUGAAUACAUUAGCAUGGAAUAAGGAAAUAGGACGUUUGACCCUAUUUUGUUGGUUUCUAGGAUCGACGUAAUGAUUAAUAGGGAUAGUUGGGGGCAUUAGUAUUCAAUUGUCAGAGGUGAAAUUCUUGGAUUUAUUGAAGGCUAACUACUGCGAAAGCAUUUGCCAAGGAUAUUUUCAUUAAUCAAGAACGAAAGUUAGGGGAUCGAAGACGAUCAGAUACCGUCGUAGUCUUAACCAUAAACUAUGCCGACUAGGGAUCGGAUGAUGUUAAUUUUUUAAUGACUCAUUCGGCGCCUUACG
rnacentral:misc_RNA from 1 species